UAGUAGUUUGUGUUGUUUAGU
rnacentral:miRNA from 1 species